rnacentral:rRNA from 1 species
UACGUAGGGGGCGAGCGUUGUCCGAAGUUACUGGGCGUAAAGAGCGCGUAGGCGGACCCUUAAGUGAGGGGUGAAAGGUUCGGGCUCAACCCGGAGAGUGCCUUUCAUACUGGGGGUCUUGAGUGCGGCAGAGGGGGGUGGAAUUCCGCGUGUAGCAGUGAAAUGCGUAGAGAUGCGGAGGAACACCGAUGGCGAAGGCAGCCCCCCUGGGUCGACACUGACGCUCAGGCACGAAAGCGUGGGGAGCAAACAGG